GGGCCUAUGGCGCAAUUGGUAGCGCGUAGUAAGUUCACCUCAAAAUCCAAAUCAGGAUUACAUCAGCAUCUAACAGUUCCAUCAGCGACUCCAGAUCGUAAGGUUGUCCGAUCGAGCCGGGCUGGGCUCA